CACGUAGGGCGCAAGCGUUGUCCGGAAUUAUUGGGCGUAAAGAGCUCGUAGGCGGUCUGUUGCGUCCGCUGUGAAAACUCGGGGCUUAACCCCGAGCCUGCAGUGGAUACGGGCAGACUGGAGGUAGGUAGGGGAGAAUGGAAUUCCCGGUGUAGCGGUGAAAUGCGCAGAUAUCGGGAGGAACACCGGUGGCGAAGGCGGCUUUCUGGUCCGAUACUGACGCUGAGGUGCGAAAGCGUGGGGAGCGAACAGG
rnacentral:rRNA from 1 species